rnacentral:rRNA from 1 species
GACAGAGGGGGCAAACGUUGCUCGGAAUCAUUGGGCGUAAAGCGCACGUAGGCGGUCGGCUAUGUCGGAUGUGAAAGCCUCGGGCUUAACCCGAGAAGGGCAUCCGAAACUGGCCGGCUUGAGUACGGAAGAGGGUCUCGGAAUUCCCGGUGUAGAGGUGAAAUUCGUAGAUAUCGGGAGGAACACCAGUGGCGAAGGCGGAGACCUGGGCCGAUACUGACGCUGAGGUGCGAAAGCGUGGGGAGCAAACAGG